UCGAAGAUAGUUUAAAUAAAAACAGCGUCUUUUCGAGACGAAAAAGGCUUAUUUACUAGUCUCUACGAA
rnacentral:tRNA from 1 species